UCUGGUUUGGCUAAACAGGACUCCUCUCCCUUCUCUGGUCGUCUUCCCCGAAUGGAGAUCAAAGUCGCAGGCUGUGCAAGGAUUGAAGAGGUAAAAUUUUCUCCCCCUUGCUCUGAAUCUAUGGUUUCUCCCUCUCUCUCUCUCUCUCUGAUUUCUCUACUCGUUCUCUUGCCCGUUAUCAUCUCUCACUCUCGUCUCUUGCUUUCGGAGGCUUCUUGAGGAUCUCUAUCUUCUCUAGUAGCUUAUUGGUUCAAAAGAGUUCUCAUUGAAGAGGCUACCACCCUCUUGGCAUAGGAUUUUGCUGCAUUCGUUCUUGGCACAGAAUCCCUUAGACUUUGCCUGUCAAAGCCCUAGUGUGGCAGGUAUAACCAUCAUUGUGGAUUGUAACUCUUAGUUGAUUGGAUAUGUUGAAGAAUUAAAUUGACAAUUUCUCUUGCAAUGUGGCAAGUAUAUGAGUUUAAUAUAUGGAAUUCAGGUCUUGUUGAGCCAAGUUUCUAUAUGCAACUUUGUUGAUUCUCAUAAUUAUGCAUACUUUUUUGCAAAUAACUUUUUUUUAUAUGCAGUCUACCCAUGGUGGCUAGUUAGUAGCUCAUUCUUGAAUAGAAAAUUGAUUUACCGAACAAGUCUAGAAAAUGAAAUAAAUAUAUUAAGAACUCAAUAAAAAUGCAAUCAUCUCCUGGAACAAAAUGUUUGUUAUGCUUAAUAGCUUUAGUGCGAUCUAUAUUUGUAUGAAUUAUGCCCUUUGCUCAAGUAGUUUUUUCUUCGGUAAAAGACAUGAAGUUUCUUGUCACGGAUGUUACAAAAUGCAACUUUGUUGAUUCUCAUGGAACCUUGCAUAAUUUUUUUGCAAAUAACUUCUUUUUUCUUUCAACUGUCAUUCGUAUUACUUUUUAA